rnacentral:rRNA from 1 species
UGGUAAUGCCGGAUGCUCCAUCACACCGCAUGGUGUGUUGGGAAAGCCUUUGCGGCAUGGGAUGGGGUCGCGUCCUAUCAGCUUGAUGGCGGGGUAACGGCCCACCAUGGCUUCGACGGGUAGCCGGCCUGAGAGGGCGACCGGCCACAUUGGGACUGAGAUACGGCCCAGACUCCUACGGGAGGCAGCAGUGGGGAAUAUUGCACAAUGGGCGCAAGCCUGAUGCAGCGACGCCGCGUGAGGGAUGGAGGCCUUCGGGUUGUAAACCUCUUUUGUUAGGGAGCAAGGCAUUUUGUGUUGAGUGUACCUUUCGAAUAAGCACCGGCUAACUACGUGCCAGCAGCCGCGGUAAUACGUAGGGUGCAAGCGUUAUCCGGAAUUAUUGGGCGUAAAGGGCUCGUAGGCGGUUCGUCGCGUCCGGUGUGAAAGUCCAUCGCUUAACGGUGGAUCCGCGCCGGGUACGGGCGGGCUUGAGUGCGGUAGGGGAGACUGGAAUUCCCGGUGUAACGGUGGAAUGUGUAGAUAUC